AAAAACCUAAAAGCCUUGUUUCUUUCUCUCAACCCCCUAGAUCUGGCCAUCGGUGCUGCCGUGGGCCACUGUGGCCACCGGUCACCAGCGAUGGAGGCUGUUGCCUCCGGUGGCCGAAAAAUGCCUUUUAACCUUUUUUUUUUAAAAAAACCUCUUUCAUAAAAAAACUCGAAUCUAGCCCAAUAGUUUUUGAAAAUCAAAGAAAGGGGAAAAUAGCGCGAAGAAACGGCGGCGAUGGUUUCCGACGGUGGCAGAAGAUGAACCGACAGGUGAGUUUUCCCUUUUUUUUAUACUUUAUGCUUCUUUUUUUAAAUAAUUGAGUUAAAAAAAUAAAAAAAUAAACAAGAAAGUCACCUUUGAACUUUUUCUUUUCAGUUCUUUUUUUUAUUGCUUUUCGUUUGUUUUCUCUUUUUUUUAAAAAAAAAACCCCUUUUACAAUCUAUUUUCAGGCUUUUUUAUAGCCAAAUUACAAUAUUAUUUUUUAUUUUUUUCUACUGUUCUUGCUCUUCUGUAUUUGCAGGCGUCUUUGGAGUCAAUGACAAGAUGGGGGCAGUUGGCGGUGGCAGACCUCGGGCGACGAGAGAGGAACGACGGCUAGGGUUUUUUUGUUGUUGUUGUUUUUUUUUUUUUUUGAAAACUUAGUUUAGGUUGUGGGCCACAGGGCCAUUAGGGGUUUGUUUUUUCAUUUUGGGUUGUUUGUAAUUAGACUUUAUUAUUUGGUCUUGUUUUAUUAUUGGGUCUUGGGCCAGAUGGAAUUGGGCUUUCACAGAAACCAUUUAGAUAAGGGAGGUAUGUUGCUCCCCGGAC
rnacentral:lncRNA from 1 species